rfam:Picea glauca, whole genome shotgun sequence.
AUAAUAAUGCCUACAACAUUAAUGCAUUGGAUCCCAUUAGAAUUUUGGAGUUAAGAAUGCUUGGGAUAGAGCAGUAGUGGGAUGGGUGACGUCUAGGAAAUACCUAGUGUUUUUUAUG